rnacentral:rRNA from 1 species
UACGUAGGGGGCGAGCGUUGUCCGGAUUUAUUGGGCGUAAAGAGCUCGUAGGCGGUUUGGUAAGUUGGAUGUGAAAUCUCCAGGCUCAACUUGGAGGGGUCAUUCGAUACUGCGGGGCUAGAGUGCAGAAGGGGCAACUGGAAUUCUCGGUGUAGCGGUGAAAUGCGCAGAUAUCAGGAGGAACACCGGUGGCGAAGGCGGUUCUCUGGGCCUUACCUGACGCUGAGGCGCGAGAGCGCGGGGAGCGAACCGG